UACGUAGGGGGCAAGCGUUGUCCGGAAUUAUUGGGCGUAAAGGGCGCGUAGGCGGCUUCGCAAGUGGUGGGUGAAAUCCCUCGGCUUAACCGAGGAACUGCCCUCCAAACUGCGUUGCUUGAGUCCGGGAGAGGUGGAGUGGAAUUCCCAGUGUAGCAGUGAAAUGCGUAGAGAUGUGGAGGAACACCGAUGGCGAAGGCAGCCCCUGGGUCAAGAUUGACGCU
rnacentral:rRNA from 1 species